rnacentral:rRNA from 1 species
CAGUCGCCACGGUAAUACGAAGGGGGCUAGCGUUGCUCGGAAUGACUGGGCGUAAAGGGCGCGUAGGCGGUUUAUACAGUCAGAUGUGAAAUUCCUGGGCUCAACCUGGGGACUGCAUUUGAUACUGUUUGGCUUGAGUUCGGGAGAGGUGAGUGGAAUUCCCAGUGUAGAGGUGAAAUUCGUAGAUAUUGGGAAGAACACCAGCGGCGAAGGCGGCUCACUGGACCGACACUGACGCUGAGGCGCGAAAGCGUGGGGAGCAAACAGGAUUAGAUACCCGAGUAGUCCCUGUCUCUUAUAA